UUCCGGUUGAUCCUGCCGGAGGCUACCGCUAUUGGAGUUCGAUUAAGCCAUGCGAGUCGCGAGUCUUAGGGACUCGGCGUACCGCUCAGUAACACGUGGGUAACCUGCCCUAUGCUGGGGGAUAACCUCGGGAAACUGAGAAUAAUACCCCAUAGUUCACCACGCCUGGAACGGUGGGUGGAUCAAAGCUCCGGCGGCAUAGGAUGGGCCUGCGGCGUAUCAGGUUGUAGGGGGUGUAAUGUACCCUCUAGCCCUCUACGCGUACGGGUGUUGAGAGACAUCGCCCGGAGAUGGAUUCUGAGACACGAAUCCAGACCCUACGGGGUGCAGCAGGCGCGAAAACUUGGCAAUGCGAAAAAUCGUGACCAGGGAACUCCAAGUGCAUCGGGUAAGACCGAUGCUUUUCAUGACUCUUCAAAGGUCUUGGAAUAAGGGGUGGGUAAGGACGGUGCCAGCCGCCGCGGUAAUACCGGCGCCCCAAGUGGUAGUCGCUUUUAUUGGGCCUAAAACGUCCGUAGCCUGUCUGGUACAUUCGUGGGUAAAUCAACCAGCUCAACUGGUUGAAUUCUGCGAGCACGGCCAGACUUGGGACCGGGAGAGGUGUGGGGUACUCUCAGGGUAGGGGUAAAAUCCUGUCAUCCUGAGAGGACCACCUGUUGCGAAGGCGCCACACUAGAACGGAUCCGACGGUCAGGGACGAAGCCUAGGGGCACGAACCGGAUUAGAUACCCGGGUAGUCCUAGGUGUAAACGCUGUGGACUUGAUGUUGGGAGCGCUCCGAGCGCCCUCAGUGUCGAAGCGAAGGUGAUAAGUCCACUGCCUGGGGAGUACGGUCGCAAGGCUGAAACUUAAAGGAAUUGGCGGGGGAGCACCGCAACCUGAGGAUUGUGCGGUUUAAUUGGAUUCAACGCCGGGA
rnacentral:rRNA from 1 species